rnacentral:rRNA from 1 species
GAUGAACGCUGGCGGCGUGCCUAAUACAUGCAAGUCGAGCGAAGCGGGGACGGGUGAGUAACACGUGGAUAACCUCCUAUAAGACUGGGAUAACUUCGGGAAACGGGAGCUAAACCGGAUACUUAUCAAUGGCUCGGCGCUGCAUUAGCUAGUGGGUAAGGUAACGGCUUCCAAAGGCAACGCUGCAUAGCCGACCGGAGAGCGUGAGCGGCAACACGGGAACUGAGACACGGUCCAGACUCCUACGGGAGGCAGCAGGAGGGAAUCUUGCGCAAUGGGGGCAAGCCUGACGGAGCAAUGCAGCGUGAGUGAUGAAGGUCUUAGGAUCGUAAAACUCUGUUAGUAGUGAAGCGGUACCUAAUCAGAAAGCCACGGCUAACUACGUGCCAGCCGCCGCGGUAAUAC